AACGGUCGAGACAGAACAUUGUUGUGCAAAUCUGCCGGAAUCUACCAUCCUCGCUGUGUCCUUUUCUGGUGUAGAGAACUUGAGAAUGGAAGUGUUGAAAGAAGUUAAUUCGAUGAAAGAUGGACAGGAGAGUGGAGGCUGUAGGCGCUGUGUUUCGGCUGCCCCUGUCUAGUGCUGGUCACACUUGGCAGACUGUACUUCUCUCACCCAAUCCCUCAGACUCCCAGAGGAGAAAGCCUGACAGUUUCUCCACAAAGCCCUGUCGUCGAGACUCCUAGCAACAGUGAACUACAUCCCCCACAAGGCUGUACCAGGAUGCACAGUGUGGUGGAACCAAUCAGCUGUCAGAUGAUGACUGGACACAGGAUGUGUAUGAGA